rnacentral:lncRNA from 10 species
CGGCCGAGUGCGGGACUGGGGCUCCUGGCUGUGGGUGUGGUACCGAGGCUUCAGCGGGUGCCGCCCGCCUAGAGGGAGUGGAGCGAGAGCCUACGACUAGAUUUGCAUCUUUACGUCCUGCGCGGAGGCUGCUACACACAUGCAGAAGUCAUGCUGGUGGCCUGGACAGUGAAGGGAGAGAAGUGGAUUUGGGAGACAUUUAGGAGCAGAAGAAUCCCAGACUUCUUAGAGAACCCAGUGACUUUU